UACGGAGGGUGCAAACGUUUCUCGGAAUCAUUGGGCGUAAAGCGCACGUAGGCGGCCCGGUAAGUCGGAUGUGAAAGCCCUCGGCUCAACUGAGGAAGUGCAUUCGAAACUGCUGGACUUGAGUACGGGAGAGGGAUGCGGAAUUCCCGGUGUAGAAGUGAAAUUCGUAGAUAUCGGGAGGAACACCAGUGGCGAAGGCGGCAUCCUGGACCGAUACUGACGCUGAGGUGCCAAAGCGUGGGGAGCAACCAGG
rnacentral:rRNA from 1 species